CCUCCUUACCAAAAUGUCGAUGGUGACAUUGUUAGUGUAGUGCCUACACAAAUUGUCUUGUUUAAAAGUUUAAAGAAGUGCCCUAGAGCGCUUAAGUUUGAUUGCAAAAUCAAACUUAAGUGCUUUCUUUGAAAGCAUUAUGUUCUUUAACAAUUUGGAAAGCUGAUAUUUAAUUAGUAAAUCAAUCAAAAUUUGAGUAAUUGAGAAGUCGAAAGACGUACUUACUACUCUACUUGACUUGAAUUGCUUGUUAUCAAUCUUAAUUUGAUAGCAAGGCAAUUUCACGAUUAGCUUGUCAUGCAUACAACACUACCCAUACUCGGAUUCAAAAGGCGAGUAUGAUCGCAAGGUCUUUGGGGGUUGUAUGGUUAAGUGACUAAGCGUAUACGGUGGAUGCCUUGGCAGUA
rnacentral:misc_RNA from 1 species